rnacentral:rRNA from 1 species
GCACUUANCUCUGGGAUAAGCCUGGGAAACUGGGUCUAAUACCGGAUAGGAGCGUCCACCGCAUGGUGGGUGUUGGAAAGAUUUAUCGGUUUUGGAUGGACUCGCGGCCUAUCAGCUUGUUGGUGAGGUAAUGGCUCACCAAGGCGACGACGGGUAGCCGGCCUGAGAGGGUGACCGGCCACACUGGGACUGAGACACGGCCCAGACUCCUACGGGAGGCAGCAGUGGGGAAUAUUGCACAAUGGGCGCAAGCCUGAUGCAGCGACGCCGCGUGAGGGAUGACGGCCUUCGGGUUGUAAACCUCUUUCAGUAGGGAAGAAGCGAAAGUGACGGUACCUGCAGAAGAAGCACCGGCUAACUACGUGCCAGCAGCCGCGGUAAUACGUAGGGUGCGAGCGUUAUCCGGAAUUAUUGGGCGUAAAGAGCUCGUAGGCGGUUUGUCGCGUCUGUCGUGAAAGUCCGGGGCUUAACCCCGGAUCUGCGGUGGGUACGGGCAGACUAGAGUGCAGUAGGGGAGACUGGAAUUCCUGGUGUAGCGGUGGAAUGCGCAGAUAUCAGGAGGAACACCGAUGGCGAANGCAGGUCUCUGGGCUGUAACUGACGCUGAGGAGCGAAAGCAUGGGGGAGCGAACAGGGAGUAGAUACCCUGGUAGUCCAUGCCCGUAAAACGUUGGGGCACUAAGGUGUGGGGGACCCAUUCCACGGUUUCAGCGCCGCACCUAACGCAUUUAAGUGCCCCCCGGCCUGGGGGAGUACGGCCGGCAAGGC